rnacentral:misc_RNA from 1 species
UUGAAUGGAACGGGGUACUGUAAGCGGUAGAGUAGCCUUGUUGCUACGAUCCGCUGAGGUUAAGCCCUUGUUCGACAGAUUUGUUCAAUCAAUGAUUGGACUUCUCUCUUCCUUUCUUCUUCCAUGCACCUGUACUUAGGGCCAGUCCAAAGGACUUGCGCCGUUCGAGGUGCAUGCAGGUUGAGGGAAGAGGGAGAAAGGCUUGACUUCUAUACACUGUGGCCUGGUAUUUCAAUAUGGCUUAGGGGACUCAUCUGCAUGCUUGCAUGUCGUGCUAGAGGCUUAAGGCGGGGCAUAGAGAGCCUCGCAAGUGCUAGAUGGGCAUCCGAGGCUUGGCCAUAUGGUGCGACACACACGGUAUCUGUUAUCCACGGCCAUAGGACUCUGAAAGCACCGC